rnacentral:rRNA from 1 species
GAAAUGGUUGCUAAUACCGCAUGAUGCAGCGGCACCUAAUGGUGACAGUUGUUAAAGCGGGGGAUCGAAAGACCUCGCGUCUAAAGAGGAGCCUGCGGCGGAUUAGCUAGUUGGUAGGGUAACGGCCUACCAAGGCUACGAUCCGUAGCCGGCCUGAGAGGGCGGUCGGCCACACUGACACUGACAUACGGGUCAGACUCCUACGGGAGGCAGCAGUCGGGAAUUUUGGGCAAUGGGCGAAAGCCUGACCCAGCAACGCCGCGUGAAGGAUGAAAUCCCUCGGGAUGUAAACUUCGCAAGAACGGGAAGAAUAAGUAGGGGACAAUACCCCCUAUGAUGACGGUACCGUUUGUAAGCUCCGGCUAACUCCGUGCCAGCAGCCGCGGUAAUACGGGGGGAGCAAGCGUUGUUCGGAUUUACUGGGCGUAAAGGGCGCGUAGGCGGCCAGCACAAGUCAGUUGUGAAAUCUCCGAGCUUAACUCGGAAAGGUCAACUGAUACUGUGCGGCUAGAGUGCGGAAGGGGCAACUGGAAUUCUUGGUGUAGCGGUGAAAUGCGUAGAUAUCAAGAGGAACACCUGCGGCGAAGGCGGGUUGCUGGGCCGACACUGACGCUGAGGCGCGAAAGCUAGGGGACGA